CAUGGGUGACCCAUUAUUAGUAAGUUCUCAGGAAACAUGAAGAUUGACAAUGUGAAUUAAUGCUCAUUGCAGUAUCUUUUAGGAGUGGCUGUGGUACAAGGCAACCAAUCUAUGGCUUUCUUCCUCUGGCAUAUUUUCAUUCUUCUCCCUUGGGCCUGGGGUUCUAAUAAGCUUACUUUGUUGAAGAGUUAGAAGCUUUGCUGCUCAGGUUUGCUAGAGUUCAUUCUUCCAUGUCAUUCCCACUUUGCAUCUUGAUUUUUCUCCAAAGACUCCGAUAACAGAUACCACGAGGACCUACAAGGCUAAGGCACGUGCUUUCUUCCUGCUCAGAAAUCCCCUAGCCGUCCAGCCUUCAGAGCAGCAUCAGGAAGACAAGACUUUCAUAAGAUCAGGAUAGGAAGUAUUUUGGAGACUCCGUGGUGAUACUUGGAUUGGAAGGACAGAAAAUCUGGAAUGCUGGGUAAUGUGUAUAAUUCUAUUUUGAAGAGGAAUUAGUUCAGCUGGUGAGAAAGGAAACUUCAUGGCCACGAAGUUCGUCACCAGAUGUUCCGUGUGUACCCCAUCAUUUAAAUUCCAUGCAAGCUGUGAACUGUGUAUCGAUCUUCUCACUUAUUUGCUUUAACAGCUCCACGAGGCUCCAUGAAUCAUUCAUCCAGGUAUGGAGUGCUGUCCUGUCACUGUUACCCUUCGCUUGCAGAGGGGAGAACAUUGAGACUUUAAACGACAAAGUGAAAUCAGUUGCACUGGUCCAAGUAAAAAUGCAGCCCCCUCGCUCUGCUCACAGGUACUGUCUUCCAUGCAUCAUACCUUACCCAAGUUCUUGGGUCCCACAUUGGAAAAAUGUGGGAUAAUCUUAGAAACUUCUAAGGUGUGCACAAAUUCACUUAGGCUAGCUAAAGAGGACUCACUGUAUGACCACACGAGUUUUAGCCUUUUUACUGAGUUCAGGAGCUGGUGCAGGUCUUGUCAGAAACCCAACUGCCUUAGGGUCAGACUGGUCAAAUGAUACGGGUGGUGUUGCUUUUGUAGAAGUAAGUUGUAAUGAAGUUGUAGAAGUAAGUUGUAAUGAAGUAAAAACAAUUACCAAGAAACCAGGCUGGUUCAAAACUUGAAGUUCUGUCAUGGCCUUGUGAGUUCUCUGAUUACAGACAUGAGCCACCAUAUGCAGAUUGAGAGUAUAUUCUUUUAGAAAAGUUUUAGUUAUUAGUUAUACACAAUUAGUCAUAUACAAUAAUGAGUUUCAUUAUAUUUUCACACUUGUGCAUAAUCUGUUUUGAUCAAAUUUAUGUAAAAAUCCAAUAUCCUCUCCUGUUCCUCUCCCAGUUGCAUUAAUCCUCUUCCUAACUUGUCCUCCAAUUGUACCAUAUUUUUCUUUGAUGACACAGUGAAUUUCCUUUGGAUUAUUUACAGGAGUGUGGGCCCUUUAGCAGUGGCAACACCAUGGGAAGAAAAUGCCUCUCCUUCACCCAUCAGUCAUUAACAGGCAUACAUUUUCAUGAAGAGGUGGGGACUCAUGAGCCCCUUACCCCUCCAUGACAGGUCCAACUUUGUAGAGAACUUAUGCAGGAAAUCAUAACUCUGUACAUUAAGAGUGGAAUAGCCCUGUUAUGCCUGGAAGACAGCCUGCCACACCUCUGUCUCCUGCUACCCAUCUCUUACAUUCUUCUAAGCCUUCUUAAAAGUUGAUAGGCUGCAAGAAGCAAGAAUUUCACUGGGCAGGACCGGAUCUGGGGCCUGGAGAUACUGGAGAGCUGGACCAACCUACACAGACUGUGAGAACCAGUUUGAAUUAAGAUAAGAAGCUCAUCUCAGGACUGUUUUUAUGAGAUGAAUAAGUAAAAAUCAAAGACAGGAAGCAGAAAGCCUUUGAGAUGGUUCAACAGGAGAAAGUGCUGGCUACAGCCUGAGUUCAAUCCCCAGACCCGCAGUGAAAGAAAAGAAUAGACUUCUGAACGUUGACCUCCAACGUCCACAUGGUUCCUAUGAAAGCUGAGCUCUGCCUACAUUUUCUCAAUCCCAGCCAGCGCCUCUUCCAGUGUGGACAGCUGCUUUCUACUGUCUAGCAUAGGUAAUGCAUGUAUGCUCAGUUUGCUCUGUGAAUGUUCAUUUCCUUCUGUGUUCUUUGUUGGAAAGAUCUACCUGGGACUUUCUCCAGGUGUCAGUGUGCAGCUCUGAGCCACUCUGGUGUGGCUGUUUACUUUACUUAACAGUGGGAAAGACGCAUAUUAGCCUUUCCACAGGAACAUGUGAAGAAAUCCACUUGGUACACUUUUACAACUGCCUCCUAGGUCUUUUUAUUCCUACUUUUUGUAAGUUUAAAAACUAGCCAGAAUUAUAUCAAUUUAUUCAUAAUCAGUAAGCAAAAGAGACCAAACUGAGUCUCAUAGUUACAGUGUUAAAAGCAGCUUAUGUCCCAACACAAGAAAAAUGUGGAAAGAAAAAUGAUUAACAAUUUAAAAGCCAAAUAUAAAAUUCAGGAGUAAAAUUUAUCAACAAAAUAGGAUUUCCUUAUAAUUUCCUCUCAAAUUACAUAACCAAGUUAGUAUAAUUUCCUUGUAAUAAAGUAAUUUGUGAGGAAGCAGUUUCUAGAAUGGGUGAAAAAUGUGUAAGAGAUGAAAUAGUCAUUUCUAGAAAUUAUCACUGAAUACUAACUUGUUCUUUCUUCUUUAUAUUUCCAGGUUCUACCUUUAAAUGUCUAAUUUACAAUAUGUCUCCCAGACAUUGUAAUUUAGAUAUUAUAUUCCUUUUCAAGACAUAGAGAUUAACUUCUCAGCAGAUUCAUCCUGUUACUGCCCAGUGUAGAAAGGUUCAGUUGUAAGCAAUUGCUCAAAUAUGAGGUUCAUGGGACUUAAGCGUUUUUCCAAUAGCACCAAGAAAAAAGAACUCUUCCAACUAAUAAUUGAAAGACAUGUGGUCAUUCUCAUUACUAGGGUGUGAUUUGCAGUCUGGAUUUUCUUCUCUUGGAACUCUGAGGUAUGUAACCCAUUCUUUGUGACUAACAUGGCCUUCCAAAGAAAUGCUUCUAAGGGUAGAAUGCAUUGACUUCAUUUCAAAAUUAUCCACAGGAGUAUGGAUAUAUUUUUUCAUUUAGAAGUUAGUUAGAUAUACAGAAUUUCCAAGUCCCAUGGAAUUCAGUUUCAGCCUAUAGAUGCACAGGGACAAUCACCUAUAAAGUAUACUGAUGUCAUCCUCAACCAGCUGCUUUAUAAAUGUAUAUCCGAAGAUACAAGGAGUAGGAACAUACACAUUAUAUCUCUGAUCUACAACGAGGAAUAGUAAAUUAUACUUUAUAAUUAGAGUGUGAGACUGAAUCAUAUUUUAGGGCGACUUCAGGGCUUGUUUCCUGAAACACAUCCUUAUUUAAUACUUAUAGCAAUACAUUUUGUAUCAGUUUAAUACCUUUCUUGCCUACCUAUUCAUCAGGACAAACUGUCCUCCAGACACAAUCAGCAUAGUGUUAAGUGUUGAUGGUUCUGCGGUGCUGAUGCUAUCCAUUGCUCUUAUUGUACAAUAUUUCAACCUGGAAUUAUAGGAAUAUUAGAAUUUUAAACUUAGAAGGAACUUCCAAAAUUAUCCACAGGAGUAUGGAUAUAUUUUUUUCAUUUAGAAGUUAGUUAGAUAUACAGAAUAUUGAUCAAAAUAAUGUCAAGUAAUUUACAUUUCUGUGGUGUGAAUAUCCCAGCAUGGCAAAUUUCAGGUAUCCAUAUGGAGUCUUCAUUGUUUUGUUUGUUUGUGUGUGUAUGUGUGUCUACCACACAGAUAAGAUAUAUGCAAAUAACAUAAGAAUCUUACACAAUAGGUCAGAAGAGAUAUAUUUUUCAAUAAAACAGUAUCCAAGGAGAAUCAUUAUCUUGAAAUCAACAAUUUGCUAACUUGAAAGUUGCGUGUUGUUUUUUGCUGGUCACCACUAACAAAUAGAAGCCAAUCAAAAACAGGCUUAACUUCUAUCAUCCCUGAAAGGUUUGCUGUCACCUUGGAAGAUUAAUGUAAUAUUGUUACAUCAUACCACACAAAAGACCACAUGCAUGUACUAAGAAAGAGCAGAGAUUCUUACCUUGGUAUGACCAAAAGAUUCUAAUCAUAAUCAGCACAUCUUGUAGGAAUAAUACAAAGGGAGUUGGAAGUGUAAGAUCCACCUUGUCUCACUUGCAAGCAUACCAUUAACACAAAUAAUUUUUAAAAGAUGUUUUCCAAGCAGCAUAGAGUUUAUAAAAAAAAUCUGUAUAACUACUAUAAUAUUUAAAAUGCCUUUUGGAACUUUACAUAUGUGCACACACACAUAUGUAGACAUUACAAUGAAUGGGGGAAUACUGUGCACAUAUACACUGCUAUGUAGUUUUAAAGAAUCAAGUGCUGUGUAUUUCAUUUAGUGUGCUCCAGAUCAACUAGUCCAGAAUGGACAAAGAAGAUCUCUCUCCCUGUUCAGUUGAUAGGAGCCGUACUCAUUUCAAGACUUAAAACUGUUUGCUCUUCUGACUGUUGGAGGUGGUUUGUAAAUGGAAUGAUUGCAUGCCUCUGUGGUCUCCUGUUUUCUCACUAACUCACUGAACUCCCAACAAAUGAAAGUUCUUGCUUCGUAUUUAUCACACCAGAACUGACGUUUUCAGCAAAGGGGUAAGUGAAACAGUCAUAUCUUUGUUCUCUGUCCAUACUUGCCACGGAAGCCUUGGGGAGAAGGAUGGCUUUGGAAUGACCCACAGAGUUGUCUCUGAAUGGGACAAAAGGAAGCUUCCUGCACUUUCCAGAAUUCCAGCAGCUCUUUCAUAUACAAUACUACUACGAACACCUGUCACUUGUCCCACCCCCUCUCUGCCCGAUGACUCAAAAACAAAGAUAAGUGAAGGCGACUGUGGUUGGAAUGAGAAAUGUCCCCCAUAGGCUCCAGUAUUUGCACACCUGGUCCCCUGAUGGUGGAAUUAUUGAUAAUGUUAUGGAAUCUUUAGGAGGCAAGGCCUUGCUGGAGGAAGUAGAUCACUGGGAUGAGCUUUGAGGGUAUAUAGACUUGCCUCACUUCCUGUUCUCUCUCUCUCCUUCCUGUAUGUGGAUGGAAAUGUGAGCAUCCAGUUUCCUGCUCCCACAGUCAUGCUGUACCUUUCCUACCAUGAUGGACUCUUUCCCUCUGGUGUUGUAAGCCAAAAUAAACUGAUUCUUCCUUAAGUUGC